UGAGGCAGGAGAAUUGCUUGAACCCAGGAAGCGGAGGUUGCAGUGAGCCGAGAUUGUGCCACUGCACUCCAGCCUGGGUGACAGAGCGAGACUCCA
rnacentral:miRNA from 1 species